GAGAGGAGAGGAGGCCCACGAUCUAAUCUCAUGAUACCAUGUAGAGAAGUAGAUGGGAAACACCACACACACCAAUGAGGGGGGUUACCUCUAUAUAUAUUGCCAAUAUAGCUUGGAGUACAAGGAAAGGAUAAAUACAUCCUAAUAUACAAAUAUACUUCAUAAUAACAUCACCUGAGAAUCCAAGCUUAGGUCCUUAUUCGAGUAGUCUGUUAAAUCUUUUCUAAGCUUGAUCUAUUCC
rnacentral:lncRNA from 1 species